CUUGUGACCAUAAACACAAAAAAUUCUCAGACAAAAUAUGUUCUCAAGAUUUAAGAAUUUCCUCAGCUGAGAAUUUCUCAAAAAUCGUAGACCAUAAACAGACUUGAGAAAAUUCUCACUUAAGAAAUUUCUUAACUCGUUAAGACGCGCUUUGACGCGCGCGUUGCUGUUUCCAAGGAUUCUUACCACUGGCUGUGGAACUCUUCAGAUUUUUAUGAAGAUUCAGUUUGAAAAAAAGAGAAGAAGCAGAAAUAAAAAAGAAGUACUACAACGUCAAGCAACGCAGCAAGGACAAACUUGAUCAAAUAAAGAGACCAAAAACUGGGGGAGGCAAACCCAUAGCUUUGACCACAGCAGAGGAUCUUUUUCUUCAGUCCAUGGAGGGAAGACCUCAGAUAGAGGGAAUCGCAUCCGGGAUUGAUA